rnacentral:rRNA from 1 species
UACGUAGGGAGCAAGCGUUGUCCGGAUUUAUUGGGCGUAAAGAGCUCGUAGGCGGUUAAGUAAGUCAGGUGUGAAACCUCCAGCUCAACCUGGAGACGCCACUUGAUACUGCUUUGACUUUGAGUUCGGUAGGGGUAAGCGGAAUUCCUGGUGUAGCGGUGAAAUGCGCCAGAUAUCAGGAGGAACACCGACGGCGAAGGCAGCUUACUGGGCCGAUACUGACGCUGAGGAGCGAAAGCGUGGGGAGCGAACAGG